UGGGGGAUCGUCUAACGGCAGGACGAUAGAUUCUGGAUCUAUCUAUCGGGGUUCGAGUCCCUGUCCCCCAG
rfam:Nitrospirae bacterium GWA2_42_11 gwa2_scaffold_16192, whole genome shotgun sequence.